UUUAAUAUCCCUUUGAAUUAGGAAUUUAGUUUAAAACCCUACAAUAUAUCUCCGCCUCACGCUGAGGCAGGAGACUUCACUGUGGGUUUUCCUCAAGGGCGUCGACGUUUCCCCCAAAGCUACUUGCCAACUCGUGCUUGUGCUUGGACUUCAAGCAACGCCUUUCGUUCUGCGAUAAGCAAUUUCUGUUGUUGGUUAUAUGAAUACGGUUCAUGGGUUUUGCUAUUACUCACAAUUGAUGAUCCCUUUUCCUCCUACAUUUUGGUGGUAUCGGCUUCAGGGAAAUUCGCCAAGGUUCGUUUAUACCUCGAAAUAUUAGUAUCCCUUUCACUAUGGAGUUUCAAUUUUAACUUAUUGUGUUUAUAAUCUUCUGAUUAUUGACCUGAUUUUGGUUCUUCAUCUUGAGUGCUUUUUAAAUAUGCAAAUGAUAGUUUCUAUUUUAUAGUGGUUUUGAAUUUUUGUACUUUCAGUUUCGGCACUCCAACUGUUUGAUAUAAUGUCUAGGUGAAGUUUUUAACUUUUUUAUGAAAAUUUAAUAGUUUUAGCUAUGCUAGGUUAUGAUUUGAGUUUGAUAGUCUGUGUGAUAAACACACUUAGUAAUCUGUGUAUUUCCUGUGUGAAUCUCAACAAUAUGAGAAUUGAUAACUGGAUUGUCCAUCAAGAGUUUUAUGGAGAAGAGUUCAUGAGUGGUGAUGUCAAGAUUUUUUGCCCACAACUGGUAUUUCUUUAACUCUGGGGUAAUAAAGUUGUACAUUUUUUAAAGUAAAUCAAUAACUUUCUCUUAUAAAAUUUCCCUUCAUUUAACAUCUGUUGAUGACAGUUGCUCUUGAGGACUUGACUGAUCUUAACUCAUAAGGUUAAUAUUGUCCCCUAUUCCUAUUAAUCCUGUACCAAUUAGGAAUUCAUAAUCCAUUGUUAGUAGUAUUUUCUGAAGGUCCUUUUUUGACAAUCCCAUGGAACGAUGGAAGAAUCUUGAAUUACUCGAUGAUGUUCAUGUUGUUGAGAAAACAAAGUGUUGACCGGAAUAAGACAUAUCCUUAUCUAGGCGUGGAUUUGGUUUUUUUGUCUUUUUUUUUUGCGAUUUUUAAACAAUUUUCAUAAGUCUUCAUCAAUUCAGUUGGAAUUGAGAUCUUUAUCUGUGUUUCUUUCAAAUGGUCUGAUUGAUGCAGCAAAGGGACUGAUUCAAAUGGUCUGAUUCAUAUUUCAAUUUAUGUUUCUUUUCAUGAUUUAACACUUCAUUUAUGUGGACAAUACAAAUUCUUGACAAUGUUGAAUUCUGAAAAGGUAUCAAGUAUGUUUAUGUAGAUGAUUCAAUGGAUGAUAUUGGUGAGAUUCCAAUUCUAUUGGAAUGGAAUCACAUAUUCCAAUUCUGUUGGAAUCACAUAAGUUGAUGCUUGAAGAACGGACCACAAAAUUGAAACGGACCACAUUAUUCUUUUAGAAUGUAUUAGUCGUUGAUAGAUUUUGAUGUUUUCUUUCCCGUUUUGAAAGUUUUUUUAGUUUUAUUCUUUAACAAUAAAUGUAAUUCUUAACAAUUGUUACCUGUAUUUUAUAAGAAAUAAUGUAUUUUUUAUUUUUAUUCUUCAAUUGAGUGUUCAAGAAUUUGUUAUUCUACAAGAAGUUCUUCAAGUCAUGAUAAAAAAUAUGUUCCAGA
rnacentral:lncRNA from 1 species